rnacentral:rRNA from 1 species
UACGUAGGGUGCGAGCGUUGUUCGGAAUUACUGGGUGUAAAGGGUCCGCAGGCGGGCAAGCAAGUCGGUGGUGAAAGUUCAUGGCUCAACCGUGAAAUUGCCUUCGAUACUGCUUGUCUUGAGUUCGAGAGAGGAUGAUGGAAUUCAUGGUGUAGCAGUGAAAUGCGUAGAGAUCAUGAAGAACACCAGUUGCGAAGGCGGUCAUCUGGCUCGAUACUGACGUUCAGGGACGAAAGCGUGGGUAGCAAACAGG